ACUCAAGUAGCUUAAGAUAAAGCAUAGCACUGAAGAUGCAAUGAUAGUUAUAAUAUAACUCUAGAGUA
rnacentral:tRNA from 2 species